CCUACGGGUGGCAGCAGUGGGGAAUAUUGGACAAUGGGCGAAAGCCUGAUCCAGCCAUGCCGCGUGUGUGAAGAAGGCCUUCGGGUUGUAAAGCACUUUCAGUGGGGAAGAAAGCCUUGGGGCUAAUACCCUCGAGGAAGGACAUCACCCACAGAAGAAGCACCGGCUAACUCCGUGCCAGCAGCCGCGGUAAUACGGAGGGUGCGAGCGUUAAUCGGAAUUACUGGGCGUAAAGUGCGCGUAGGCGGUCUGAUAAGCCGGUUGUGAAAGCCCCGGGCUCAACCUGGGAACGGCAUCCGGAACUGUCAGGCUAGAGUGCAGGAGAGGAAGGUAGAAUUCCCGGUGUAGCGGUGAAAUGCGUAGAGAUCGGGAGGAAUACCAGUGGCGAAGGCGGCCUUCUGGACUGACACUGACGCUGAGGUGCGAAAGCGUGGGUAGCAAACAGGAUUAGAUACCCGUGUAGUC
rnacentral:rRNA from 1 species